CCUUGAUACUUAUAGCGUAGUAGUACCACUCCAAUCCAUUCCGAACUUGGUUGUUAAAUGCUACAGCGGCAAUGAUACUGAAAAGGAGACUUUUUGGGAAAGUAGCUCAGUAUCAAGG
rnacentral:rRNA from 1 species